AACGUAGGUGGCAAGCGUUAUCCGGAUUUACUGGGCGUAAAGCGCGCGCAGGCGGCAGUGCAAGUAAGGUGUGAAAUCUCCCUGCUCAACGGGGAGGGUGCACUUUAGACUGCACAGCUCGAGGUCGGUAGAGGGGGGUGGAAUUGCUGGUGUAGCGGUGAAAUGCGUAGAGAUCAGCAGGAACACCCGUGGCGAAGGCGGCCCCCUGGGCCGUACCUGACGCUGAGGCGCGAAGGCUAGGGGAGCAAACAGG
rnacentral:rRNA from 1 species